GCAUAACGCGAAGAACCUUACCAGGUCUUGACAUCCCUUUGACCGGUGCAGAGAUGUGCCUUUCCUUCGGGACAAAGGAGACAGGUGCUGCAUGGCUGUCGUCAGCUCGUGUCGUGAGAUGUUGGGUUAAAGUCCCGCAACGAGCGCAACCCCUGUGAUUUGUUGCCACCGGAGCAAUCCGAGCACUCGAAUCAGACUGCCCACGAUCAACUGGGAGGAAGGUGGGGAGUGACGUCAAGUCCGUAUGGCCCUUACGCCUAGGGCUGCACACGUACUACAAUGCCCAGUACAAUGUGAACCGAGACCGCGAGGUGGAGGAAAUCAAUAAAACUGGGCCCAGUUCAGAUUGUAGGCUGCAACUCGCCUACAUGAAGUCGGAAUCGCUAGUAAUGGCGCAUCAGCAACGGCGCCGUGAAUAUGUUCCCGGGUCUUGUACACACCG
rnacentral:rRNA from 1 species